ACGAGUGGCGAACGGGUGAGUAAUACAUCGGAGCGUGCCCAGUAAUGGGNGAUAGCCCGGCGAAAGCCGGAUUAAUACCGCAUACGCCCUGAGGGGGAAAGUGGGGGACCGCAAGGCCUCACGUUAUUGGAGCGGCCGAUGGCUGAUUAGCUAGUUGGUGAGGUAAAGGCUCACCAAGGCGACGAUCAGUAGCUGGUCUGAGAGGACGAUCAGCCACACUGGGACUGAGACACGGCCCAGACUCCUACGGGAGGCAGCAGUGGGGAAUUUUGGACAAUGGGGGCAACCCUGAUCCAGCAAUGCCGCGUG
rnacentral:rRNA from 1 species